UACGUAGGGCGCAAGCGUUGUCCGGAAUUAUUGGGCGUAAAGAGCUCGUAGGCGGUUUGUCGCGUCUGCUGUGAAAUCCUCAGGCUCAACCUGGGGCUUGCAGUGGGUACGGGCAGACUAGAGUGCGGUAGGGGUGACUGGAAUUCCUGGUGUAGCGGUGGAAUGCGCAGAUAUCAGGAGGAACACCGAUGGCGAAGGCAGGUCACUGGGCCGCAACUGACGCUUGAGGAGCGAAAAGCAUGGGGGAGCGAACAGG
rnacentral:rRNA from 1 species